rnacentral:rRNA from 1 species
UCCGUAGGCGGUUUUGUAAGUCAGUGGUGAAAGCCCAUCGCUCAACGGUGGAACGGCCAUUGAUACUGCAAGACUUGAAUUAUUAGGAAGUAACUAGAAUAUGUAGUGUAGCGGUGAAAUGCUUAGAUAUUACAUGGAAUACCAAUUGCGAAGGCAGGUUACUACUAAUAUAUUGACGCUGAUGGACGAAAGCGUGGGAGCGAACA